rnacentral:misc_RNA from 1 species
GCAAACUUGGUCAUUUAGAGGAAGUAAAAGUCGUAACAAGGUCUCCGUAGGUGAACCUGCGGAGGGAUCAUUAAAGAAGAAACAAGGUCACGCCCGCCGCCGCGUUCGCGCGGCCGCGGACACGGAUUAGCCGGCGGGGGAAAAGACUGUCGCCUCGCGCGCGGCCCGCCGGUUCUCUUCUCACCCCAUGUGUUCCGACCCCGUUGCUUCGGGGGCCACCCCGCCCACCGGCGGGGGCCCCCGGUGGCUCCAACCAAAACUCGCGUCAACCUCGCGUCCGAGUCCUACGUAAAUCGUAACAAAACUUUCAACAACGGAUCUCUUGGUUCUGGCAUCGAUGAAGAACGCAGC